GACGAACAGCCAGAGUGGUUAACGCGCUGGCCUGCUAAGCCAGUUCCUUCGGGAGCGUGUGUUCGAAUCACACAGGUGUCG
rnacentral:tRNA from 1 species